rnacentral:lncRNA from 1 species
CAAGAUGAUGAAAAAAGAAGAACACAAGAUGAUGACCGAAUGGGUGAAGUAUAAUUGUAUUAGGGCUUUCAUUAUUUUGCAUUUUAUAUUCUGUUUCUGUAUUUGCAUUUUAAGAAUCGUGGGUUUUUUUUCUAGGCAGAAUUGUGGGCUUCUAUGUAUAAGUAUAUUUUUCUUUUCUUUUUUUUUGAGGAAUGACCACAAAUAUUUUAGUUGGGUUAAAAAUAACUUCGUAUGCGCAAAUAAAACUACAAAAAUGUUAAGUAAAUACUAAUUAUAGCUUAUUACACUGUAUAUUUUAUUUAAAUUUGACCAUAUUAAUUUUAAUUAUAUUUUUACUAUUUUUACUUUUGAAAAUUAAUUUUAGACUAUUUAAAUAUGAACUUUUAAUAAAAAU